rnacentral:rRNA from 1 species
AACGAACGCUGGCGGCAGGCCUAACACAUGCAAGUCGAGCGCGCCUUCGGGUGAGCGGCAGACGGGUGCGUAACAUGUGGGAAUCUGCCUUUUGGUUCGGAACAACACGGGGAAACUUGUGCUAAUACCGGAUAAGUCCUAACGGAGAAAGAUUUAUCGCCGAAAGAUGAGCCCGCACUAGAUUAGCUUGUUGGUAAGGUAAAAGCUUACCAAGGCUACGAUCUAUAGCUGAUUUGAGAGGAUGAUCAGCCACACUGGGACUGAGACACGGCCCAGACUCCUACGGGAGGCAGCAGUGGGGAAUCUUGCACAAUGGAGGAAACUCUGAUGCAGCGAUGCCGCGUGAGUGAAGAAGGCCCUUGGGUUGUAAAGCUCUUUUGUCGGGAAAGAUAAUGACUGUACCCGAAGAAUAAGGUCCGGCUAACUUCG